AAUUCUACAAAACGCCAAAUGUUCCGCAGAAACUUGUUUGCUUAUCUUGUACGGUCUACAAUGCAGACUCUACACUAACAGAAGAAAUUAGUAUAGGUUGUGUCAAAUCGUGUUAAAAUACAACAUUAAAUAAAUGCAAAGAGCCCAGAACAAAGAAAGUGAUUAAGCUGGUUUAACUGCAUUCAACCCACUAUGCUAAAUCCCUGUAGGGGGCUUGAGUUAAACAACAAAUUUGGUUUCUUGGCCUAAAUCCUUUUCUUCAAAGAAGAAAUGUUUCUUGUGAGUAAUUCCGAUAAAUUUGUUUUCAUCGUCUUCAUUUCUUAGUCCCUAGGGAAGCUGGGGGGGGGGGGGGUGAAAAGAACCCAUCUGAUUGGGUUCCAUUUUAGGAAGAGAUGGACUGUGAAGAAUGGAAUAGAGGCAGAUCAGUUAUACAGCUAAAGAGGCACUGGGUGAACUGAGGAACGGGAGGUGUGUGAUUGUUCAGCCCCAGAAAAAAGGCCAGCUAGUGACACCCGGGAUGAGGAUUUUACCCGGCAGUGAAUCAAGGAAGACUGAGAGGGAGAUAAUAAGGUGUAAUUAUAGCAGUGCUGUUAGUGCCUGUUUAUGGGGUCUGGCAGCAAUUUGGUUGAACACCCCUCAUUUUGAGAAAUUUGUAAUUUGGCAGUGAGAAUUCCUGCCUUAAAAUUUGGCUCAAACCCUCACAGUUUAAUAUUGCAAAAUCUGGGAAAUGUUGAAAUGUGGCUGCUAUUCUAAUUGAACUUUUUCAGGCUCUUUCGAAUUGGUUUUUUUCCUGCUGGAUUCCGAAACAACCGCCUUUUUAAAAGUUCGGGAAGGUGUUCUGGACUACAAACUCAAGUAAGCUCACGAGCUGAUGAACUGCGCUGGUGAACGCUCCUGACUUACAUCUUUGUGUACAUACAGUUGCGGGGGGCGGGGGGAGAAGCUUUAACUUGAAAAACCCGAGUUCCUUCUGUUGGGUAGCCCUUUAAAAAUUCCCCACAGUCAGUAUUUUGUUUAAUUUCCUUUGAGUCGCCGCGGUGCAACGUGGUGUUGCUCUUGGUUUUAUCAACCCACUGCCUCCCCCAAGAUUAUUCCCCGUUGUUUUAAAGUAGAAGGGAGGUCACCAGGCUGUAGUGAAAUGUGGCCAACUCCGGCGGGGACCAAGUUGGCCCAACCGGCUUCUCUAAAGUAACUGGAAGUUUUCUGACAGGAAACCGGUCAGUUCUUAAGCCACACUACAUUCACCAAGCCUUCUGAAGAUGACUCUUCUGGCUGCUGCUACUGACUCCAUUCUUUGUGGGAUCCUGGAGAGAGAGACAGAGCGUGAGCG